GAUGAACGCUAGCGGCAGGCCUAAUACAUGCAAGACGAACGGUAAGCUUUGUAGCAAUACGGAGCCUAGAGUGUCGCAAGGGUGCGUAACACGUAUGCAAUCUACCCUGUACAGGAGUAUAGCUCCCCGAAAGGGGAAUUAACCCUCCAUAAUAUGAUGAACCGGCAUCGGUUUAUUAUUAAAACUGAGGUGGUACAGGAUGAGCAUGCGUCUGAUUAGCUAGUUGGUAGUGUAAUGGACUACCAAGGCAAUGAUCAGUAGGGGAACUGAGAGGUUGAUCCCCCACACUGGCACUGAGAUACGGGCCAGACUCCUACGGGAGGCAGCAGUAGGGAAUAUUGGACAAUGGGUGAGAGCCUGAUCCAGCCAUGCCGCGUGCAGGGAAGAAGGCCCUUCUGGGUUGUAAACUGCUUUAUCUGGGGAGUAAAAAAGGACCUUCGCGAGGCAAACUGAAGGUACCAGAUGAAUAAGCCACGGCUAACUACGUGCCAG
rnacentral:rRNA from 1 species